GACGAACGCUGGCGGCGUGCUUAACACAUGCAAGUCGAGCGGAAAGGCCCUUCGGGGUACUCGAGCGGCGAACGGGUGAGUAACACGUGAGUAACCUGCCCCAGACUUUGGGAUAACCCUCGGAAACGGGGGCUAAUACCGGAUACGACACAGCUUCGCAUGGGGUCUGUGUGGAAAGUUUUUCGGUUUGGGAUGGGCUCGCGGCCUAUCAGCUUGUUGGUGGGGUGAUGGCCUACCAAGGCGACGACGGGUAGCCGGCCUGAGAGGGCGACCGGCCACACUGGGACUGAGACACGGCCCAGACUCCUACGGGAGGCAGCAGUGGGGAAUAUUGCACAAUGGGCGGAAGCCUGAUGCAGCGACGCCGCGUGAGGGAUGACGGCCUUCGGGUUGUAAACCUCUUUCAGCAGGGACGAAGCGUGAGUGACGGUACCUGCAGAAGAAGCGCCGGCCAACUACGUG
rnacentral:rRNA from 1 species